rnacentral:rRNA from 1 species
CCUACGGGAGGCAGCAGUAGGGAAUCUUCCACAAUGGGCGAAAGCCUGAUGGAGCAACGCCGCGUGUGUGAUGAAGGGUUUCGGCUCGUAAAACACUGUUGUAAGAGAAGAACGGCACUGAGAGUAACUGUUCAGUGUGUGACGGUAUCUUACCAGAAAGGAACGGCUAAAUACGUGCCAGCAGCCGCGGUAAUA